GAGUUUGAUCUUGGCUCAGAUUGAACGCUGGCGGCAUGCUUUACACAUGCAAGUCGAGCGGCAGCGCGGGGGCAACCCUGGCGGCGAGCGGCGAACGGGUGAGUAAUGCAUCGGAACGUACCCCGUAGUGGGGGAUAACCCAGCGAAAGCUGGGCUAAUACCGCAUAUGCUCUACGGAGGAAAGCGGGGGACCCGCAAGGGCCUCACGCUAUGGGAGCGGCCGAUGCCCGAUUAGCUUGUUGGUGAGGUAACGGCUCACCAAGGCGACGAUCGGUAGCUGGUCUGAGAGGAUGAUCAGCCACACUGGGACUGAGAUACGGCCCAGACUCCUACGGGAGGCAGCAGUGGGGAAUAUUGGACAAUGGGGGCAACCCUGAUCCAGCAAUGCCGCGUGAGUGAUGAAGGCCUUAGGGUUGUAAAGCUCUUUUGGCGGGGACGAUGAUGACGGUACCCGCAGAAUAAGCCCCGGCUAACUCGUGCCAGCAGCCGCCGCAGUAAC
rnacentral:rRNA from 1 species